CUAAUACCGCAUAAGCGCACGGAGUCGCAUGACUUUGUGUGAAAAACUGAGGUGGUAUAUGAUGGACCCGCGUCUGAUUAGCUUGUUGGUGAGGUAACGGCCCACCAAGGCGACGAUCAGUAGCCGGCCUGAGAGGGUGGACGGCCACAUUGGGACUGAGACACGGCCCAAACUCCUACGGGAGGCAGCAGUGGGGAAUAUUGCACAAUGGGGGAAACCCUGAUGCAGCGACGCCGCGUGAGCGAAGAAGUAUUUCGGUAUGUAAAGCUCUAUCAGCAGGGAAGAAAAUGACGGUACCUGACUAAGAAGCCCCGGCUAACUACGUGCCAGCAGCCGCGGUAAUACGUAGGGGGCAAGCGUUAUCCGGAUUUACUGGGUGUAAAGGGAGCGUAGACGGUGAAGUAAGUCUGGAGUGAAAGGCGGGGGCCCAACCCCCGGACUGCUCUGGAAACUAUUUGACUGGAGUGCAGGAGAGGUAAGCGGAAUUCCUAGUGUAGCGGUGAAAUGCGUAGAUAUUGGGAGGAACAUCAGUGGCGAAGGCGGCCAACUGGGCUUUUACUGACGCUGAGGCUCGAAAGCGUGGGGAGCAAACAGGAUUAGAUACCCUGGUAGUCCACGCCGUAAACGAUGAUCACUAGGUGUCGGUGGGUAUGGACCCAUCGGUGCCGCAGCAAACGCAGUAAGUAUUCCACCUGGGGAGUACGUUCGCAAGAAUGAAACUCAAAGGAAUUGACGGGGGCCCGCACAAGCGGUGGAGCAUGUGGUUUAAUUCGAAGCAACGCGAAGAACCUUACCAGGUCUUGACAUCCCAUCGAAUAAAGGGUAAUGCCUUUAGUCCUUCGGGACGAUGGAGACAGGUGGUGCAUGGUUGUCGUCAGCUCGUGUCGUGAGAUGUUGGGUUAAGUCCCGCAACGAGCGCAACCCUUAUUGUUAGUUGCUACGCAAGAGCACUCUAGCGAGACUGCCGUUGACAAAACGGAGGAAGGUGGGGAUGACGUCAAAUCAUCAUGCCCCUUAUGAUUUGGGCUACACACGUGCUACAAUGGCGUAAACAGAGGGAAGCGAACCCGCGAGGGGGAGCGAAUCCCAAAAAUAACGUCCCAGUUCGGAUUGUAGUCUGCAACUCGACUACAUGAAGCUGGAAUCGCUAGUAAUCGCGAAUCAGAAUGUCGCGGUGAAUACGUUCCCGGG
rnacentral:rRNA from 1 species